CCGACUUCAAGAUCCAGCGAAUCCAAUCGUGUGUUGAACAGAUGCAACGAAGGAACUGCAACCACGCCUUCGUGGUUAAAAACAAAAGGCGUACUGUUUGCAUCAAACCAGACACUGUGUGGCUCAAAGAGAUGAUAAAGAAGGGAGAGAUACACUGUGCUCCAGAUAUUCACCUUUAAAAGGAAGAUGUCCAUGAAGAAGAAAAUCGUCCCGGCGAAGCAGCUACUCUGAACCUUUCCUGAUAAUUUACUAUUUAUUCCUUUUAACUAAAUAUUUAUUUACAUUUGUAACUUAUUUUUCUAUUUAUCUUU